rnacentral:rRNA from 1 species
GACGAACGCUGGCGGCGUGCCUAAUACAUGCAAGUCGAACGCACUCUCGUUUAGAUUGAAGGAGCUUGCUCCUGAUUGAUAAACAUUUGAGUGAGUGGCGGACGGGUGAGUAACACGUGGGUAACCUGCCCUAAAGUGGGGGAUAACAUUUGGAAACAGAUGCUAAUACCGCAUAAAACCUAACACCGCAUGGUGUAGGGUUGAAAGAUGGUUUCGGCUAUCACUUUAGGAUGGACCCGCGGUGCAUUAGUUAGUUGGUGAGGUAAAGGCUCACCAAGACCGUGAUGCAUAGCCGACCUGAGAGGGUAAUCGGCCACACUGGGACUGAGACACGGCCCAGACUCCUACGGGAGGCAGCAGUAGGGAAUCUUCCACAAUGGACGAAAGUCUGAUGGAGCAACGCCGCGUGAGUGAAGAAGGUUUCGGAUCGUAAAACUCUGUUGUUGGAGAAGAAUGUAUCUGAUAGUAACUGAUCAGGUAGUGACGGUAUCCAACCAGAAAG